rnacentral:rRNA from 1 species
GUGUCAGCCACCGCGGUAAUACGGAGGAUGCGAGCGUUAUCCGGAUUUAUUGGGUUUAAAGGGUGCGCAGGCGGGAUUUUAAGUCAGCGGUGAAAUUUUCAGGCUCAACCUGAACACUGCCGUUGAAACUGGGAUUCUUGAGUAUGGAUGAAGUAGGCGGAAUUCGUUGUGUAGCGGUGACAUGCUUAGAUAUAACGAGGAACUCCGAUUGCGUAGGCAGCUUACUAAGCCAUAACUGACGCUCAAGCACGAAAGCGUGGGGAUCAAACAGGAUUAGAUACCCUGGUAGUCCACGCCGUAAACGAUGAUUACUAGUUGUUUGCGAUAUACCGUAAGUGACUAAGCGAAAGCGAUAAGUAAUCCACCUGGGGAGUACGCCGGCAACGGUGAAACUCAAAGGAAUUGACGGGGGCCCGCACAAGCGGAGGAACAUGUGGUUUAAUUCGAUGAUACGCGAGGAACCUUACCCGGGCUUGAAAUGUACCUGACCGUCCUUGAAAAGGGACUUACUAGCAAUAGCAGGUAUGUAGGUGCUGC